UCCGGGUCUAUUUUAUUUUCUAGAGAACAUCAUUUACAUUUAGAAAUUAUGAAUUCAUCUGCUAGGAAAUGCUACACCGUCUUCAUGUUCUCCUGUCUUGUUAUCAUUCUUCUUAUUUCAACAUGUGAACCAAUGGGAGUAUUUUACCCACGUUGUAGAAAGAUAAGUCAAAUAUGGAAAGAAAAGCAUUGUGGUUUUGCUAUUUCACAUACCUUAGAAUGUAAUUCAACAUGCAUCAAUAUGGACCAUGCAAUGUUCGGUGCUUGUGAACAUAAUCUUCGUUCUCCUUUUUUUCCUAUGCGUUGUUACUGCACCUUCAAAUGCAGUGAAUUUACACCGCCCGCGGUUAGUUUAAACUAACAGAAAUCGAAAUUCGAUCAAAUAACUUAUUGAUCAACCUUCGACUUCUAUUUCUAUUAUGCAUCAUUUGGUGGAUGUAGAUUUGUUGGAAGUUUGUACUCUUCAUUUGAUCAUGUGUAAUCUUCAUAGUCUACUUGACAAGUUAAAAAUAAUCUAGUAUUAAGUUUAUAUAUGA